rnacentral:rRNA from 1 species
GUUAAAAAGCUCGUAGUUGGAUCUCAACAGCCUUGAAGCGGUUAACUUUGUAGUUUUACUGCUUUAUAGGCUGUGCUUUUGCUGGAGGUUUAGGGGUGCUCUUGAUCGAGUGUCUCUGGAUGCCAGCAGGUUUACUUUGAAAAAAUUAGAGUGCUCAAAGCAGGCUAAAAUGCCUGAAUAUUCGUGCAUGGAAUAAUAGAAUAGGAUGUCGAUCCUAUUUUGUUGGUUUUCGGGACUCGACAUAAUGAUAAAUAGGGACAGUCGGGGGCAUUUGUAUUCAAACGACAGAGGUGAAAUUCUUGGACCGUUUGAAGACAAACUACUGCGAAAGCAUUUGCCAAGAAUGUUUUCAUUAAUCAAGAACGAAAGUUAGAGGUUCGAAGGCGAUUAGAUACCGCCCUAGUUCUAACCAUAAACGAUGCCAGCUAGCGAUCUGCCUGCGUUUUUACUGUAGACUGGGCAGGAAGCUUCCGGGAAACCAAAGCAUUUGGGUUCCAGGGGAAGUAUGGUUGCAAAGCUGAAACUUAAAGGAAUUGACGGAAGGGCACCACCAGGAGUGGAGCCUGUGGCUUAAUUUGACUCA